rnacentral:rRNA from 1 species
GACGAACGCUGGCGGCGUGCUUAACACAUGCAGGUCGAACGGUGAAGCCCUUCGGGGUGGAUCAGUGGCGAACGGGUGAGUAACACGUGAGCAACCUGCCCCUGGCUCUGGGACAACCACUGGAAACGGUGGCUAAUACCGGAUACGACCCGCCUCGGCAUCGAGUGUGGGUGGAAAGUUUUUCGGCUGGGGAUGGGCUCGCGGCCUAUCAGCUUGUUGGUGAGGUGAAGGCUCACCAAGGCGACGACGGGUAGCCGGCCUGAGAGGGCGACCGGCCACACUGGGACUGAGACACGGCCCAGACUCCUACGGGAGGCAGCAGUGGGGAAUAUUGCACAAUGGGCGAAAGCCUGAUGCAGCGACGCCGCGUGAGGGAUGACGGCCUUCGGGUUGUAAACCUCUUUCAGCUCCGAAGAAGCGAAAGUGACGGUAGGAGCAGAAGAAGCACCGGCUAACUACGUG